rnacentral:lncRNA from 1 species
AGAAGAAAACAACCUGAAAUUUUGGAUUGUUCUCUGUACUGCAGAUCUGGAAGGAGCAUCAUGAACUUCCUAUCCAUCCUGGCUUUCUGCUAAAGAGAAAUGUAAAAAGUCGAGAAUUCUUCAGGAUGCUUUUUCUUUCAUAUGCUUUUCUAUUUCUCUCUUGGCAGCACUAGGCGCACAUGGGCCUGGCAGGGCCAGUGGACUGAUACCUCCUCUGAACCAGUGUCCUUCAUUUGGGGAAAGAGUUUAGCCACGUGGUGUAUUGCAGCAGCUGGAGAUUUAUUGUCACACAUAAACACAUGUGCUGAACCAUCUCCAUUCACUCAAUUUACGGAAGUAGCACUGAUUUACACAAGAAGCAAAAUGCAAAACUGGAAGAGCAACAGCUACUAGGACCACCACCAAGGUGAUGGUCAGGAUUGAAACAGAC